rnacentral:rRNA from 1 species
AACGAACGCUGGCGGCAGGCUUAACACAUGCAAGUCGAACGCACCGCAAGGUGAGUGGCAGACGGGUGAGUAACGCGUGGGAAUCUACCCAGAACUUCGGAACAACUGAGGGAAACUUCAGCUAAUACCGGAUACGCCUACGGGGAAGAUUUAUCGGUUCUGGAUGAGCCCGCGUUGGAUUAGCUAGUUGGUGAGGUAAUGGCUCACCAAGGCGACGAUCCAUAGCUGGUCNGAGA